GGAAGUAAAAGCCGUAACAAGGUUUCCGUAGGUGAACCUGCGGAAGGAUCAUUAUUGGAUUUUGAAACUUCAGGCUGCUGCUGGCUCUCCUCGGAGGGCAUGUGCACGCUUGUUGUCCAUUAUUUCUCCCACUGUGCACAAAUUGUAGACCUUUCAGUAGGCCUAUGUUGUUUUUCAUAAUCUCUGAAUGUAAUAGAGUGGUUUUGAAUCUUGGGAAAUACAAUACAACUUUCAGCAACGGAUCUCUUGGCUCUC
rnacentral:misc_RNA from 1 species